CGGACGCGGCGUCACCGUCUCCAAGGAACGGUCUGGGGCACCGCUUUCAAAGUCGCAGGGCGGGCCGAGUGGACUCCGCGGCCGCUCCUGCUUUCCCGCGGCCCUGGCGUCGCCCCUCAGCCGGCGGGGACGCUGCCGCCCAGCCAGGCGCGUCGCAGGGUCAUCCUCCCGCGCGGUCUGACGGGAACUCGGCGCCCUCCGGCCGCGCGCGGCUCCGCGGCCCUUCUCGUCCGGCCGGGUCCGGCCGAGCGCGGAACGGAGUCUGAGGCGCGUCGCCUGGGUUCCGCGGAGCGGCGGGCCGGGCUGCGCCGCCGCGUGAGUGGGAUGCUGAUGUCUCCGCGCCAGGGCUCGGCUGCCCCUGCGACCCCUUAGCUUUUUGUUUGCCCUCACAGCGGGAGGCUGCUUUUUUGUUGUUGUUCGAUUGCUUGCUUGUUUGAGAAAUACCUUCUUUCCCCCCUGCGAGGAAUCGAUAAACGUGAUGAAAACUCCAAACUAAAAUAUCGAAAUGGCCACAGAAAUCGACUUACUGAGAGACCAAAAAGAUAAACUAAAUGAUAUUCUUAGGCAGCAUCAAAUCGAACAUAUUUUCAGAGACCCAACUAUGCAGAACAGCAUGUCCAAAGGAGGCAGAGGUGACACACUAGUAGACUCAAUAAAUGAGCAAAGUUCUUUACCUCCUCUCAUUGCUGAGUAUGAGAAACAUCUGGAAGAGCUAAACAGGCAGCUGACCUAUUACCAGAAGCACAUGGGUGAGAUGAAACUACAACUUGAAACUGUCAUCACAGAAAAUGAAAGGUUGCACAGUAAAUUAAAAGAUGCUGUUGAAAAGCAAUUGGAAGCCCUUCCCUUUGGCACAGGGAUAGGAAAUGACAUCUGUGCAGAUGAUGAGACCGUGAGGAUCCUUCAAGAACAAUUGCAACUAGCCAAUCAAGAGAAAACUUGGGCUCUGGAACUCUGGCAGACUGCUUCUCAGGAGUUGCAAAGUGUACAGAAACUCUAUCAGGAGCAUAUGACUGAAGCCCAGAUUCAUGAAUUUGAAAACCGAAAGCAAAAAGAUCAGCUGAACAAUUUUCAACAACUAACCAAGAAACUCCAUGUUGCUAAUGAGAACAUAGAAAUGACUAACCACCACUUCCUGAAAACAGUAACUGAACAAAACAUGGAGAUUGAGAAACUUCGAAAACAUCUUAGGCAAGCCAGAUUAGAUCUGAGAGUUGCAGUAUCGAAAGUGGAAGAGUUAACUAAAGUGACUGAAGGUCUUCAAGAGCAGAUGCUGAAGAAGGAGGAAGAUAUUAUGUCUGCACAAGGAAAAGAAGAAGCGUCGGAUAGACGAGUACAGCAGUUACAAUCUAGUAUAAAACAGUUAGAGUCAAGAUUGUGUGUAGCAAUUGAAGAAGCCGAUGUACUAAAAACAGGGAAAUCAAAUUUGGAAAAGCAAAUCAAAGAACUACAAGCAAAAUGUAGUGAAUCAGAAAAUGAGAAAUAUGAGGCUAUUUCAAGAGCCAGAGAUAGCAUGCAGCUCUUAGAAGAAGCUAACAUUAAACAAAAUCAGAUUCUCCUUGAAGAGAAACAAAAAGAGGUUGACAGAGAAAAAAUGAAGAAAACAAUGUCUCAGCUUAUACAAGAUGCAGCUAUCAAAGCAAGGAAAGAGGUUGAAAGCACAAAAAAACAAUAUGAAAUUCUGAUUUCACAAUUAAAGGAAGAACUCUCAACCCUUCAAAUGGACUGUGAUGAAAAGCAAGGUCAAAUUGAUCGAGCCAUUAGAGGGAAAAGAGCCGUGGAAGAAGAACUGGAGAAGAGUCUCCAUGAUACUCUGACUCAUCAACUCAGGUAGAUAGUUGGCCAACAGCCCCAGAAAUACAUGAGUCUCUGUCACUCCAGAACUGGGAUUACAGGAACAUGCCUCCACACCCACCUUUUAUAUUUACCGUGAAGGCAAACAGGAUGAAAGUGAUUACAGAAAAUUGGAAGAAAUGCAUCAAAGAUGUCUUGCUGCAGAACGUUCAAAAGAUGAUCUUCAGCUAAGACUCAAGAGUGCAGAAAAUAGAAUAAAACAACUUGAAAUUAAUUCCUCAGAAGAGAUGUCACGUUCCCAUGAAAUGAUCCAGAAACUUCAAACUGUAUUGGAGUCAGAGAGGGAGAACUGUGGCUUUGUCAGCGAGCAGAGGCUGAAGCUUCAGCAGGAAAACGAGCAACUACAGAAGGAGACCGAGGAUCUCAGAAAAGUUGCUCUGGAGGCCCAAAAAAAAGCAAAAUUAAAGGUCAGUACAAUGGAGCAUCAGUUCUCAAUUAAGGAGCAUGGGUUUGAAGUUCAGCUGAGAGAAAUGGAGGACAGUAAUCGGAAUUCCAUUGUUGAACUGAGGCAUCUUUUGGCAGCUCAACAAAAGACAGCCAAUAGGUGGAAAGAAGAAACCAAGAAACUUACUGAAAGUGCAGAAAUGAGGAUCAGCAGUCUAAAGAGUGAGCUGAGCCGACAGAAGCUUCAUACCCAGGAGCUACUUUCUCAACUGGAAAUGGCAAAUGAAAAGGUGGCUGAGAAUGAAAAGUUAAUUCUGGAACAUCAAGAAAAAGCAAACAGACUUCAAAGGCGUCUAAGUCAGGCAGAAGAGAGAGCUGCUUCAGCGUCCCAGCAGCUCAGUGUGAUUACAGUGCAGAGAAGAAAAGCAGCUUCCAUGAUGAAUCUGGAAAAUAUUUAAACAUAUUCAUAGUUCACUGACAGAACUGUAGAGUUGGGAAAGCUGUUGUACCAAACGUAUUGACAUGGAGAAGCCUGCUGAGAAUGGGGAAGGCUUGUGUCAUUUUGCAUAAGCAUUUUCCAUUCUGUUUUGAGGGUUAUUGGAAAACAGAACAGUGACAGCUUCUUGUAAGUAGAAAACUAUAAUCCUAUAUUUGAGAUUCAGUAGAGAAUAAAGCCAGCUGAGAAGAACUCACUGCCUUCAUCAAUGUCUAUUUUUAAUUCCUUUUUCCCCCUCCUUGGAAGAACAUAAUAUUUUCAAGAGGUUUAAUUAAAUCCCUAGAAUUUGAUAUUUCAGGUUCUAAGAUUUGGAGAUUUAAUGUCUCAUUUUUUACUCUUAAUUCAUUUUUAUAAUUCUUAAGAUUCUAUUUUACUAUGAAUUCAUAAAUGUAAUAAAUUAUGUAUUUUGUAAAAUUA